GAGAUCCGAAAAGCGUAUUUCCUCCUCCGGUCACUACAAUGGCGCAGUUAGGAGGGAUACGAAUAAGUAUUGCGGAAGACAUACGCAUUGGUAAAAUGAGUGAAUCAAUCUGUGCGUCAUGGGUGAGUAGCUCUGGCAUUUUGGAUUGGAUAAUAUGUAUUGAUAUAGAUUAAAAAGAGCAGACUCACGCACAUUUCUUCAUGGGAACGAUGUAAGUAUUAAUAACUAGUACAGCACAUUCCUACGGGGAUCGAUGCAAACAUGAAUACACACACCUAUAAACAGGAUGCGCAUGCACGGACAGACGGAUUCACACACAUUCCUUUAAGGGAAUCGAUGUCGAUGAAAGUAAUCGUUUCGCACAUCCCUUUAUGGGAUCGAUGCAAGAAUAAAGAACUAGUGAAGCACAUCCCUACGGGGAUCGAUGCAAGAAUGAAUAACUAGUAAAGCACAUUCCUUCGGGGAUCGAUGCAACUAGGAAUAUACACUCAUGUAAGCAGGAUGCCGGGUGACGCACAUGGGAUCGAUGCUAAUAUGAAUAACUAGUAUAGCACAUUCCUACGGGGAUCGAUGCAAACAGGAAUAUAUACACCUAUAAGCAGGAUGCGCAUGCUCGGACAGACGGAUUCACACACAUUCCUUUAAGGGAAUCGAUGUCGAUGAAUAUAAUCGUAACGCACAUUCCUUUAUGGGAUCGAUGCAGGAAUAAAUAACUAGUGAAGCACAUUCCUACGGGGACCGAUGCAACCAAGAAUAUACACACGUAUAAGCGUAUAAGCCUUGUAACAUACAUUUGUGAGGUGAUUAUUUCAUAGUAGUGGCCCGGCAAACAAUGCGAGGGUUGGUGAGGUACCUCUCGCUCUAAUUUCUCUAGUCUAGUCUAGCUGCCUCGCUUCCUCCUAUAGCGAUUCUGUCGAGCUGAGCUUUCACGUCCCUCACCACCGAUCUCCUUCCUACCCCUCGCCUAAGAUCGUCUGACAUCUCGCCUGACACCUUUCGUUGUGUUGGUGCUCUGCGGCUGCUGUCACUGUAGAAGUCAGGUUGUGUGUGUAAAAAAAACGUAAACAGUGUUGUUGGCUGAUCAAGUGCGGUAAGUUUUUUAAUAAUUAAGUUCUUAAUUUUACGUAAGUAAGUGCCAUUUUAGCUAAAAUAAGCGGUAGAAGUCCUGCCCAAUGCGUGCUGGCUCCGUCGGAAGCGGUACGUGCAUGUACCGGCAUAGUAAAGUGGUGUGGUGGACAACACAGCACAAGACAGUGGACGUAAUGCAGAAAUGAUAUGGGCCUGCCGCAGGUGUUUGCGACUGUGCGCUGUGUAUGAUUGUGUAUGAUACGCCAAUUUUACUCUAUCCUGGAAUGUGGGCUUACGAUGAACCAUUAAAGAACAUCCUCCGGGAGCUGUACGGCGACGAAUCGGGCUCUACCAGCACAACACGCUAGAGACCCAGCCGGCACCGGGUGCCCCGAUUGCGCCGUCAGACGGUGUCGAGCGCGCUCGUUCACAACGUUCGGGGCAGGAAUUCAACCCUUCGGAUCUGCAUUAUCCGCUGCCCCACAAUAGCUGCAGCAGCAACAGGACCGAACCGACCGCACUACUGAUUGUGGUCAUAUUUCCUGGCAGGAGAAAAAACCCCACAAGUGUAUCGAUUUCAUCAUGGCACCACCAUGCCACUGAAUAACCCCGGAAAGGCGACAAACACUCUCAAACAUCUCCAGUGGCAAAUUGUUAACGUGAAUCCACUUCCGCACAUCUACACGACAUUACAUUAAUAGUGUUAUUGUGUUAAUUGGAAAAAAAACUUGAUGUUAACGAGUUAAGUUUAAUCUUAAGUGCGCUUUAAGGCAUAAAUUGAUAUGCCUAUUUUUAAGUAAAGUGUUUUGAAAUGCGCGUGUGUGUGAAGGGGCGGAAUAAGCGCUAAUUUUGCCCCGUGGUCUUGAGGGGCCCCAAAAAUGGAACCCAUCCCCCGCUCGCAGGUUAAAUUGCUACUCAAUCCUUCUCUAGUCUAGAACAUUUCCCUGCUAGACGCUUAAACCAAGCCUACAUUUGUGUGACUGCUUAGGGCC